rnacentral:misc_RNA from 1 species
UUAUCAAUUUUUACAUAUUAAAAUUAUAUUUUUUUAAUAAUUUUAUGAGUGUAUUAUUUUAUAUAUUAAUUUAAUAUAUUUAAAAUAAAUAAUUUUAAAAUAUUUAUUAAUAAAAUCAACUCUAAUUAAUAAAUAAGAGAGCUGUCAUCUUUACGAAUUAAUAAACUCAACACUGAAAAUUGAAAGACAUUCGCAUUGGACGGAGGGAAGAGAACUGAUCGCGGAUCCCACGGCCAAGGUUGCAUCAAUCAGCUCUGUGAGUUGGACCCAGCUAACCCAUAAAGAAGUUGACUUUGGAACAAAUCUAUACGAGCAUUUGACACUUGCACCGCCAUCAAAAGCGCUGAUCUCGCCGGCAUUGCGUGGAGAAAACUAGCAAAGCCGGCGACGCAACAAGGUAUUGAAGAUGACGGGUCAACACAAUAUAAAAGCCACGAAAAUUG